CCCGACCAUCGGUCGGGGGCCUGCUGGGCUCAGCGGGGUCUCGACCCUUCCUUCGUUUUUCUUUCGGACCCUUGAACUCGGUUGAGCGUCGGUCGGAGGCCCCUUCGUCUGCGCGCAUAUACUUGUACGCGCGCUCCAACAAUUCGGCAUAUGUACGGGGGAGGGUCUUGUCCAGGGAGUAGGUGAAUCGGGACGCCCUCAGCCCCCGUUUCAUGGCUGAGAUAGCCAUGUCUUCGUUGAGGUCCCGGACCUCAAGCGUGGCCGUAUUGAAUCGUGCCACGAAGUGUCGGAGCGUCUCGUUUUCUCCCUGUUUGAGG
rnacentral:lncRNA from 1 species